rfam:Ovis aries breed Texel chromosome 2, whole genome shotgun sequence.
UCCUUGGUAGUCCAGUGGUUAGCACUCAGUACUUUCACUUCUGUGGCCCAGGUUCAAUCCCUGUUCAGGGAA